UACGUAGGGCGCGAGCGUUGUCCGGAAUUAUUGGGCGUAAAGAGCUCGUAGGCGGCCUGUUGCGUCCGCUGUGAAAUCCCGGGGCUCAACCCCGGGCGUGCAGUGGAUACGGGCUGGCUGGAGGCAGGCAGGGGAGAACGGAAUUCCUGGUGUAGCGGUGAAAUGCGCAGAUAUCAGGAGGAACACCGGUGGCGAAGGCGGUUCUCUGGGCCUGUACUGACGCUGAGGAGCGAAAGCGUGGGGAGCGAACAGG
rnacentral:rRNA from 1 species